AUUGAACGCUGGCGGCAGGCUUAACACAUGCAAGUCGAGCGGAGAUGAGGUGCUUGCACCUUAUCUUAGCGGCGGACGGGUGAGUAAUGCUUAGGAAUCUGCCUAUUAGUGGGGGACAACAUUCCGAAAGGAAUGCUAAUACCGCAUACGUCCUACGGGAGAAAGCAGGGGAUCUUUGGACCUUGCGCUAAUAGAUGAGCCUAAGUCGGAUUAGCUAGUUGGUGGGGUAAAGGCCUACCAAGGCGACGAUCUGUAGCGGGUCUGAGAGGAUGGUCGGCCACACUGGGACUGAGACACGGCCGAGACUCCUACGGGAGGCAGCAGUGGGGAAUAUUGGACAAUGGGGGGAACCCUGAUCCAGCCAUGCCGCGUGUGUGAAGAAGGCCUUAUGGUUGUAAAGCACUUUAAGCGAGGAGGAGGCUACUGAGACUAAUACUCUUGGAUAGUGGACGUUACUCGCAGAAUAAGCACCGGCUAACUCUGUGCCAGCAGCCGCCGCGGUAA
rnacentral:rRNA from 1 species